UUUUAGCCCCGAUAGUAGUGAAAAUCCUUUUUUGUUCGCCGCGGCGAAUAAAAAAGAUUGCAACGGAUAGCGGGAAUAGCU
rnacentral:sRNA from 1 species